rnacentral:rRNA from 1 species
GGGGAUAACUAUUGGAAACGAUAGCUAAUACCGCAUAAGAGUAGAUGUUGCAUGACAUUUGCUUAAAAGGUGCAAUUGCAUCACUACCAGAUGGACCUGCGUUGUAUUAGCUAGUUGGUGAGGUAACGGCUCACCAAGGCAACGAUACAUAGCCGACCUGAGAGGGUGAUCGGCCACACUGGGACUGAGACACGGCCCAG